UUGGCGGGAGUUUCGGAGGCGGUGACCGUGACGUAGAAGGUGGAGACCGCUUCACCCUGAUCAGGGAGGAUCGGCUGCGGGUGCGCAAGGCGUCCAGGAGUGACCUGGGGCUGUGGAGGGCGACCCGUGGCCUUGUGUUUCAGAGUUUACCACCUAGGAUGACUUCAGUGACUAGAUCAGAGAUCAUAGAUGGUAAGUAUUGUAGUGAAAUUCAGUACCUCUUACCUUGGGUUCAGGCUUCUGAGCUAUACCCAAAUCUUUCCUGGCUCCUGGUAGAUUUGGA
rnacentral:lncRNA from 1 species